UGCACUCAAUUGGAAAGAGGAGUGGCGGACGGGUGAGUAACACGUGGGUAACCUACCCAUCAGAGGGGGAUAACACUUGGAAACAGGUGCUAAUACCGCAUAACAGUUUAUGCCGCAUGGCAUAAGAGUGAAAGGCGCUUUCGGGUGUCGCUGAUGGAUGGACCCGCGGUGCAUUAGCUAGUUGGUGAGGUAACGGCUCACCAAGGCCACGAUGCAUAGCCGACCUGAGAGGGUGAUCGGCCACACUGGGACUAGAGACACGGCCCAGACUCCUACGGGAGGCAGCAGUAGGGAAUCUUCGGCAAUGGACGAAAGUCUGACCGAGCAACGCCGCGUGAGUGAAGAAGGUUUUCGGAUCGUAAAACUCUGUUGUUAGAGAAGAACAAGGACGUUAGUAACUGAACGUCCCCUGACGGUAUCUAACCAGAAAGCCACGGCUAACUACGUGCCAGCAGCCGCGGUAAUACGUAGGUGGCAAGCGUUGUCCGGAUUUAUUGGGCGUAAAGCGAGCGCAGGCGGUUUCUUAAGUCUGAUGUGAAAGCCCCCGGCUCAACCGGGGAGGGUCAUUGGAAACUGGGAGACUUGAGUGCAGAAGAGGAGAGUGGAAUUCCAUGUGUAGCGGUGAAAUGCGUAGAUAUAUGGAGGAACACCAGUGGCGAAGGCGGCUCUCUGGUCUGUAACUGACGCUGUAGGCUCGAAAGCGUGGGGAGCAAACAGGAUUAGAUACCUGGUAGUCCACGCCGUAAACGAUGAGUGCUAAGUGUUGGAGGGUUUCCGCCCUUCAGUGCUGCUAGCAAACGCAUAAGCACUCCGCCUGGGGAGUACGAC
rnacentral:rRNA from 1 species